UUCUUCAGCGGGAGAGCGACGGAGAGGAGGUGCAGAGGAAAGAAACAACGAAUGCAGGAAGAAUCACAUUUUGCGUAAUAUUUCUUUUUCUUAAUAGGGUUACUCUAAUAAUAACUCGUUUGGAAGUAAUAUGGUACAUAGCGAUCGAUUUGUUUCGUAAGAUUUUUGAGUACAUAUCCCGCAGGGAGAAUUCUUCCUAUUGUGUUUCGAAGCUAAGAUAGCAGAUUAGCCAUUGCUAACGAGAUGAGUUACGGUAGGCCUCCGCCCGAUGUGGAGGGCAUGACUUCCCUGAAAGUGGACAACCUCACAUACCGAACCUCACCUGAGACCCUCCGUCGAGUUUUCGAAAAGUACGGUCGGGUAGGAGACGUGUACAUUCCCCGUGAUCGCUACACGAAGGAAAGCAGGGGGUUCGCCUUUGUGCGCUUCCACGAUAAGAGGGACGCCGAAGAUGCGAUGGACGCCAUGGACGGGGCCUUGCUCGACGGGCGCGAACUGAGAGUCCAGAUGGCUCGUUAUGGACGCCCACCGGAUUCUCAUCAUGGCGGUGGUGGUGGCGGCGGCGGUCGGCGUGGAGGUGCUCCCCGGAGGUACGGGGGUUAUGGUCGCCGAAGCAGGAGCUUUUCCCCUAGCCCGAGGCGCCGUAGACGCAGCCGUUCCAGAAGCAGGAGCCGUUCUCGUUCCCGCAGCCGUUCCCGCUACAGCAGAUCGAGAUCUCGUUCCUACUCCCGCUCCAAGUCCCGUACGCCGCAGAGGAAGAAGACCAAGUCUCCGUCGAGGUCUCGCUCCAGGUCCAAGUCCAAGUCUCGCUCCAGAAGCCGCACUCCUCCAUCCAACAGAGUGUCCCGAUCCCGGUCUAAGACCCCGCCGCCCAAGUCCCCAGGAGACAACGGAGCCGAAACUCCGUAGGCACGAGACGCAAGGCUGCGGAAUCCUGUUUGCAAAAGAGGUGUGUGAGGCAGUGUGGUGAGGAGGAAGUUAGGAGGAGGAGGGGUGUGGAUGUCACCUCGGUUCGGGGGCUCCGCUGCAGCUGCUGCAGUGUUGCUAUGGAGGGUGUUGCUAUGGAGCAGGCCGGUGGCAGGCAGUAGCAGUGUUGGGGUUGGUGUUGAGAUGAAGACUCCACCACGAGCGACAUGUCGAAGUGACAGGCUUCCUACGGAUGAUCACCGUCCAUGCAAUGAUUUCCUGGUGUCAAAGGUUACUAUUGUAUCUUGUUCUGAAGACCUGUGUCUCUGUGUCUGCUUUCUCAUUUUCCUCCAAAUAGGCUCGACUUUUACUAAUAUGCCGCAGUUUAAAAAAAAAAUUUUCUUUAGAAGGAAUCUUAAGAGGUUCUGAAGUGAUUUUGUUGGGGUGGUUGCUUGUUUGUCUGGCUCAUACUUCUAUCUCCUCCCAGUCUUUAAAACCCAGGCCUAGCACAUGUAACAAUAGCUGUUCUAGCUUUUCAAAACUUAUUGUGGUUUCAUCAGGUCAAAGACCGAACUCUUAAAUGUUUGGUCUAAAACCUGCUCCCCCUACAAAGGCAAGCAUCCCAUUCAAAAAAAAAAUAUAUAUAUACUUUUUUUUUUCUUUUCGUCGUAGAUCUUGACAGAAUCUGGCAUCAAUUUUACAGUGAUCUUGUGCUCUGUACAUUUGUUAUUCUUUGCCAUUUUCUCCAUAUUGUCAUUCUAAUCUACCCUCUUGUAUUUUUUGUGCGUUAGGCGCAGUUGUGUAGCAGUUGAGUUUUGCUGGUUAGCUGUGUAAAGUGGUGGAGUGCUGAAUGAUUGGCAGUCCCCAGUAAGCAGCAGAAUGUUCCAGAGACAACCGAGCUGUGCUGCGGUCAACUUUAAAAAUGGCUGCAACAACAAAUUCACCCUCUUAGGAUGCAUAUCAUCAUUUUUUUUUUUUUAUAGUUUGCAAUUAUUCGGAUCGGUAUGGUUUUUUUUUUUUUUUGGUCGAACGGAUCCAUUGCAUUUGUCUUUCCCCAUCUGCAUUCCUGUCCCGUUCCUGUUUAAAAUCCUGUAUGUAGACCGAUGUGGUUGCUAAUAAAAUGUUUUCUCUUAACCA